rnacentral:rRNA from 1 species
AGUCAAGUAAUUAAGUGCAUGUGGUGGAUGCCUUGGCAGUCAGAGGCGAUGAAAGACGUGAUAGCCUGCGAAAAGCUCCGGGGAGGCGGCAAAUAUCCUUUGAUCCGGAGAUGUCUGAAUGGGGGAACCCACCUACUUUAAGGUAGGUAUUGCAACAUGAAUACAUAGUGUUGCAAGGCGAACGAGGGGAAGUGAAACAUCUCAGUACCCUUAGGAAAAGAAAUCAAUUGAGAUUCCCUCAGUAGCGGCGAGCGAACGGGGAUCAGCCCAUUAAGUUAUGUGUGUUUUAGUGGAACGCUCUGGGAAGUGCGAACGUAGAGGGUGAUAUUCCCGUACACGAAAGGGCACACAUAAUGAUGACGAGUAGGGCGAGGCACGUGAAACCUUGUCUGAAUAUGGGGGGACCAUCCUCCAAGGCUAAAUACUCCUGACUGACCGAUAGUGAACCAGUACCGUGAGGGAAAGGCGAAAAGAACCCCUGUGAGGGGAGUGAAAUAGAUCCUGAAACCGCAUGCAUACAAGCAGUGGGAGCACCUUCGUGGUGUGACUGCGUACCUUUUGUAUAAUGGGUCAGCGACUUAUAUUCAGUAGCAGGUUAACCGUAUAGGGGAGCCGUAGAGAAAUCGAGUCUUAAUAGGGCGUUUAGUUGCUGGGUAUAGACCCGAAACCAGGCGAUCUAUCCAUGAGCAGGUUGAAGGUUGGGUAACACUAACUGGAGGACCGAACCCACUGUCGUUGAAAAGCCAGGGGAUGACUUGUGGAUAGGGGUGAAAGGCUAAUCAAGCCUGGUGAUAGCUGGUUCUCCCCGAAAGCUAUUUAGGUAGCGCCUCGGACGAAUACCAUAGGGGGUAGAGCACUGUUUCGGCUAGGGGGUCAUCCCGACUUACCAAACCGAUGCAAACUCCGAAUACCUAUGAGUACUAUCCGGGAGACAGACUGCGGGUGCUAACGUCCGUAGUCAAGAGGAAAACAAUCCAGACCGCCAGCUAAGGCCCCAAAAUCAUAGUUAAGUGGGAAACGAUGUGGGAAGGCAUAGACAGCUAGGAGGUUGGCUUAGAAGCAGCCACCCUUUAAAGAAAGCGUAAUAGCUCACUAGUCGAGUCGGCCUGCGCGGAAGAUGUAACGGGGCUAAAACUAUGUGCCGAAGCUGCGGAUGUAUACUUUGUAUACGUGGUAGGGGAGCGUUCUGUAAGCCGAUGAAGGUGUGUUGAGAAGCAUGCUGGAGGUAUCAGAAGUGCGAAUGCUGACGUGAGUAACGACAAAACGGGUGAAAAACCCGUUCGCCGAAAGACCAAGGGUUCCAGUCCAACGUUAAUCGGGGCUGGGUGAGUCGACCCCUAAGGCGAGGCCGAAAGGCGUAGUCGAUGGGAAAAUGGUUAAUAUUCCAUUACUUCUGUGUAAUGCGAUGAGAGGACGGAGAAGGCUAAAUCAGCCUGGCGUUGGUUGUCCAGGUGAAAGGAUGUAGGCAUGUAUCUUAGGCAAAUCCGGGGUACUCUAUGCUGAGAUCUGAUAGCAAGCUGUACUUGUACAGCGAAGUGGUUGAUGCCAUGCUUCCAGGAAAAGUCUCUAAGCUUCAGUUACACAGGAAUCGUACCCGAAACCGACACAGGUGGUCAGGUCGAGUAGACCAAGGCGCUUGAGAGAACUCUGCUGAAGGAACUAGGCAAAAUGGUACCGUAACUUCGGGAGAAGGUACGCUGUUGUUGGUGAUGGAACUCGCUUCCUGAGCUGACGACAGCCGCAGAAACCAGGCCGCUGCAACUGUUUAUUAAAAACAUAGCACUCUGCAAACACGAAAGUGGACGUAUAGGGUGUGAUGCCUGCCCGGUGCUGGAAGGUUAAUUGAUGGGGUUAGCGUAAGCGAAGCUCUUGAUCGAAGCCCCAGUAAACGGCGGCCGUAACUAUAACGGUCCUAAGGUAGCGAAAUUCCUUGUCGGGUAAGUUCCGACCUGCACGAAUGGCAUAAUGAUGGCGGCGCUGUCUCCAGCAGAGGCUCAGUGAAAUCGAAAUCGCUGUGAAGAUGCAGUGUACCCGCGGCUAGACGGAAAGACCCCGUGAACCUUUACUGCAGCUUGACACUGAACUUUGACCUUACUUGUGUAGGAUAGGUGGGAGGCUUUGAAGCUGGAACGCUAGUUCCAGUGGAGCCGUCCUUGAAAUACCACCCUGGUAAUGUUGAGGUUCUAACUCUGUCCCGUGAUCCGGGACGAGGACCGUGUCUGGUGGGUAGUUUGACUGGGGCGGUCUCCUCCUAAAGAGUAACGGAGGAGUACGAAGGUGCGCUCAGCGUGGUCGGAAAUCACGCGUAGAGUAUAAAGGCAAAAGCGCGCUUAACUGCGAGACCCACAAGUCGAGCAGGUACGAAAGUAGGUCUUAGUGAUCCGGUGGUUCUGUAUGGAAGGGCCAUCGCUCAACGGAUAAAAGGUACUCUGGGGAUAACAGGCUGAUACCGCCCAAGAGUUCAUAUCGACGGCGGUGUUUGGCACCUCGAUGUCGGCUCAUCUCAUCCUGGGGCUGAAGCAGGUCCCAAGGGUAUGGCUGUUCGCCAUUUAAAGAGGUACGCGAGCUGGGUUUAGAACGUCGUGAGACAGUUCGGUCCCUAUCUACCGUGGGCGCUGGAAAUUUGAGAGGAUCUGCUCCUAGUACGAGAGGACCAGAGUGGACGAACCUCUGGUGUACC